ensembl:rRNA predicted gene, 24880
UGUGGCCACAUCACCCUGAACACAUCUGACUUCAGAAGCUAAUCAGGGGCAGACCUGAUUAAUAGCGGAGUUGGGGAAACUGUAC